GGGCGGAGCUGGAGCUCUAGCGAGGCGUGGCAUCCUCGCUGGAUCUAGUGGGCAUGGCAGCAUCAAGUGCGCAGGCGCAGAUAGAGUUUGUUUAAACUUCCUGUACAGCCUGUAUCAAGUACUCCGGAGUAUUGCACGGGAAGAAAACGGUGCACCAGACAAUACUUAUGCGAGGACAGGAUCUUCUGCUGUCUAUAUCACGGUGCCUACUGUAAAUAAACAUUUACACGAGCUCUGAAAUCAUGCAGUUCAACAAAAAGAUUUUAUCAUCAUCAAGCGUGUUCUCAAGUCCAGACGAUCCCACACUUUCACUGCUGUUACCGUACAUCAACAUUUUAAAAUGUGUAAAAAUCCAGCCUCUGGACAACCUUCCAUUGGCUGCAGCACCACCUUCAUCCCCAGCAUCAGCAUCCCCACCUUUACUUCCCCUCGACAUUGGAACAUGUCUGUACUGAUUUUGAGGGUGCCCCUCUACAGCUAGGAGGAAUUGAUUGUGGGGUAUUUAUGUUGAUGUCAAGUCCCACAACUACUCACCCAGAAAGUAACAUAUGCAGAUAACAUGAAAUUCACUCCACCUGAGUCAGAUGUCAUGGAGAUCAUCCAGACACCAGAGGAAGAUCACACAGGACUCAGCGGUGAUGAGAAACAUUCAGCUGACCUGUGAGUGGCUAAAGGAGACCACUUGCUGGGAAGAUGAGCUGCAAAAGAUCUAAAGGAUGAUGCCCUGUUGGCUAUAACAAUGUUGGACUUGUUUAUAAACACCAUGUUUUAUGAGGGUGAAAGGAAUGAAGAAAAAAUGUCGACUCCCUUCCCUUUUAUAUUUUAGAGAAGAGCAGGAAAUAUAUGAGACAAAAGAGUUAUUCGUGGGUUUUGUUUACACAAAAAACCCUGUCUUGUGAAUCUACUAGUGGGGAUAGACUAAUGUAAAUAUUGAUUUUUUUGAUUGGUUUUGUAAAAUACCAUUAAACGUUUGUGUGGACUGUAAAGUGUUGUGUUCUUAAAAUAAAUUUAUAAUAUUUAUUAUCGUAUCUUAUUAUACCAUUAAAGUCUUGUGUUCUUGAAAUAUU